rnacentral:rRNA from 1 species
GACGUAGGGCGCGAGCGUUGUCCGGAUUUAUUGGGCGUAAAGAGCUCGUAGGCGGCUUGUCGCGUCGUCUGUGAAAUCCCGCGGCUCAACCGCGGGUCUGCAGUCGAUACGAGCAAACUAGAGUGUUGCAGGGGAGACUGGAAUUCCUGGUGUAGCGGUGAAAUGCGCAGAUAUCAGGAGGAACACCGGUGGCGAAGGCGGGUCUCUGGGCAACAACUGACGCUGAGGAGCGAAAGCGUGGGGAGCGAACAGG